GCGUGAUGUGAAAUAGUUUUAGAUGUGGUCUCUUUGAGAGCGUAUUCCCCACAAGAUAGACCCAGUAGACAAAUUAGAUUUUUAUCCCAUUGACAAUCCAUCUGACGAAUAAGGAUAUAUAUUCAUUGAAGGUACACAUAGUUUUGUGAGAGAGUUUAUUAACAGGAAGAAUCAUCUAAGUGUUAUUGUAUAACAUGCAUGGACCAAAAGACAUAGCACUGUCCAUGAUGGAAUGACACAUUUCACUGGUCCACGAUUGUAUUAUUUUUUUUAAUAAACUAUAUAUUAUCAUAGCGUUCGUUUUAUAAAUACAAUAUAUUACUCCUCUGAAUGUCAGGGUAUAUUGGACAGAUUCAUAUUUGAGAAUGUAUUGAGUGAAAUGUCCAGGUGGUGUUGCAACAGAACAACAUGACAUCGUUGUUGAACUAGACGCCCUCUGUAGACGACUUUGACCCCUGUGUUGACCCCUGUGUUGACCCCUGUGUUGACCCCUGUGUUGGAUUUUGAUUGAACAAAGGGUAUGUUUACUCCAACAACAACGUCAUGUCAUUUUCAGGGACUUUUAUUGAUAAAAGGGACGAUGGAUUGUAUUUCGCAUUAAAAGUGCUUUCUGAAGGAGGCUACAGGCCCUGGUCUAAAGUAGUGUACUAUAUAGGCUACAGGCCCUGGUCUAAAGUAGUGUACUAUAUAGGCUACAGGCCCUGGUCUAAAGUAGUGUACUAUAUAGGCUACAGGCCGUGGUCUAAAGUAGUGUACUAUAUAGGAAAUAGGGCCCUGGUCUAAUGUAGUGUACUAUAUAGGCUACAGGCCCUGGUCUAAAGUAGUGUACUAUAUAGGGAAUAGGGCCCUGGUCUAAAGUAGUGUACUAUAUAGGCUACAGGCCCUACUCUAAAGUAGUGUAC
ensembl:lncRNA